rnacentral:rRNA from 1 species
GGAUAACAUGCCCUAAGGAGGGGGAUAAUCUCGGGAAACUGAGGGUAAUACCCCAUAGGUCUAUUUUGCUGGAAUGCUAAUAGGCCGAAAACUCCGGUGCCUUAGGAUUGGUCUGCGGUCUAUCAGGCUGUAGUGGGUGUAAUGGACCCACUAGCCCGUGACGGAUAUGGGCCUUGAGAGAGGGAGCCCAGAGAUGGACUCUGAGACAUGAGUCCAGGCCCUACGGGGCGCAGCAGUCGCGAAAACUUCGCAAUGGGGGCAACCCCGACGAGGGAAUUCCAAGUGCUAGCACUUUGUGUUAGCUGUUCUUCUGUCUAAAAAACAGGAGGAGUAAGGGGCGGGUAAGACGGGUGCCAGCCGCCGCGGUAAUACCCGCGCCCCAAGUGGUGGUCGAUAUUAUUGAGCCUAAAACGUCCGUAGCCGGUCUUCUAAAUCCUUGGGUAAAUCGGGCAGCUUAACUGUCCGAAGUCCGGGGAGACUGGGAGACUUGGGACCGGGAGAGGUCAGAGGUACUUCUGGGGUAGGGGUAAAAUCCUGUAAUCCUGGAAGGACCACCGGUGGCGAAGGCGUCUGACUAGAACGGAUCCGACGGUGAGGGACGAAGCCCUGGGGCGCAAACGGGAUUAGAUACCCCGGUAGUCCAGGGUGUAAACGCUGCGGGCUUGGUGUUGGGGGUCCUUAGUGGGCGCCCAGUGCCGGAGAGAAGUUGUUAAGCCUGCUGCUUGGGGAGUAUGUCCGCAAGGAUGAAACUUAA